GCAGCUUUCAUGAAACGCGGCGAGCAGGAAGGGCUGCAGUGCGUCACGCAGCACUCAGAGUUUGCUGUUGUUUGCCUGCAAAAAUCAGUGCUCGAGGUUGCAUUGCUUUCCUUCGAAGAAUUUCGGGCAAGGUGUGGACCGUGGUCAAACAGGAUUUGGAGACAUGUGGCGUAUAGACAAUACACAUGGUUCACCCAUGGAUACGUUGGACGCAAGUAGCGGCGUGUGAUACCGUCUUGCGUGGUAUCGAAGAUAAAGCAGCUGUACCAGAAGCCAAUGCAGAUGCGCACUGGGGCUUUGAGGAAGCAGUUGGACAUGAUGAUGAUGAUGAUGAUGAUGAUGAUGAUAAUGCUUCUUGGCCUGGUUGACGUUCACAUAAUCAUUGGUACAUGUGCAUGCAGAAAACAGUUGACAGACACGAUUUAUAACUAUUCUUGACUCGGGCAAUAUUUGUGUUUUCGGGUGGGCGCAUGCUUUGCACCAAUGCAGCUGCAUGAACAAUCUGGUAAAGUUGACAGAUACAAUGGCACAAGA